GAGUUUGAUCGUGGCUCAGAUUGAACGCUGGCGGCAUGCCUUACACAUGCAAGUCGAACGGCAGCACGGGAGCUUGCUCCUGGUGGCGAGUGGCGAACGGGUGAGUAAUGCAUCGGAACGUAUCCUGGAGUGGGGGAUAACGUAGCGAAAGUUACGCUAAUACCGCAUAUUCUGUGAGCAGGAAAGCGGGGGACCUUCGGGCCUCGCGCUCUUGGAGCGGCCGAUGUCGGAUUAGCUAGUUGGUGAGGUAAAGGCUCACCAAGGCGACGAUCCGUAGCAGGUCUGAGAGGAUGAUCUGCCACACUGGAACUGAGACACGGUCCAGACUCCUACGGGAGGCAGCAGUGGGGAAUUUUGGACAAUGGGGGCAACCCUGAUCCAGCCAUGCCGCGUGAGUGAAGAAGGCC
rnacentral:rRNA from 99 species